CGGAAAGACUGCCGCGCGCCAUGUUGCCGAAAGGUAUUGGUGUGAGGAAAGUCCGGGCUUCACAGGGCAGGAUAACGGAUAACGUCCGCCGAGGGUGACCUCCGGGAAAGUGCAACAGAAAAUAACCGCUGCCUCACGGCAGUAAGGAUGAAAAGGCGAGGUAAGAGCUCACCGGCACGGCAGGCAACUGCGUGCAAGUGUAAACCCUAUCCGAAGCAACACCGUAUGCAGACGGGGCUUUGCCCCGCGCCGGCCCGGCGCAGUCUGCGGGUGGCACAGAAUUCUGCGGCAACGCAGAAGCAAGAUAGAUGGCAGUCCGCGACAGAACCCGGCUUACAGCCGUC
rnacentral:RNase_P_RNA from 1 species